rnacentral:tRNA from 1 species
GUUCAGGUACGCCAAUUGGCAGAGCGGCUCGGCUCGGGCACCGCGGGGGCACCACGCGCAGCGUGGUCCCGUGGUCGCCGCGCGGUUGCCGGUUCGACUCCGGCCCUGAGCA